UACGUAGGGGGCAAGCGUUGUCCGGAAUCAUUGGGCGUAAAGCGCGUGUAGGCGGCCCGAUAAGUCCGCUGCGAAAGUCCAGGGCUCAACCCUGGGAUGCCGGUGGAUACUGUCGGGCUCGAGUCCGGAAGAGGCGAGUGGAAUUUCUGGUGUAGCGGUGAAAUGCGCAGAUAUCCGGAGGAACACCGGUGGCGAAGGCGGCUUCCUGGACCGACACUGACGCUGAGGCGCGAAAGCUAGGGGAGCAAACGGG
rnacentral:rRNA from 1 species